AUCAACUCAGGUGCAAAGCGGGAUAGCUUUGUGAACUGGAUUUCAUAUUCGGCGACACUCAUCGCCCCUUGCUUGCAUCGAAUGAAAUCGUCCUCUUUCUUCUCUUGAAUGAGAGGCGGAAGGAAUUUGGCAUUGAACUCCCUUGUGAAGUUCAUCCAAGUCCGUGGUGUAUGGUUAGUCUCCCAAUGAAUCCUCAUCAGGUUCCACCAGGAGCGAGCAGCUCCCUCAAACUGGAAGGUGGCGAAAGUCACCUUUCGCUCCUCCGUGUAGUUUAGGGCGGCGAAGAUCUCAGUGAUCCUCUCCCACCAGCCUUCAGCCACUUUCGGCUCGGGUCCUCCGUAGAAUUUGGGAGGUCCAAACUUCAGGAACCUUUCCAGUGCCCGAUCGUCGGAAUCGACUGGGCCUCCCUGAUGGCGCCCUGGUCCAGCGGCUUGGUGUUCAGUCAAGCGCUCUAGGACGUCAGUGAUACGGUUAAUAGCGGUGGCUACUCCGUCUCCGGCCCCGCCCUCUUGGCCUUGGUCUGGGUUGACCUCGGGUUCUCUAUCUCUACCUGCUUCCGGGUGUUGUCUAGUGGGUCUCCCGCGGCCCCUUCCUAUCACUUGGCGAUCCAUAAUCUAAGUUAUGCCUAUUAUGGGAGGAUCAAGCGAUUAGGCGUAGAAUUAUUUAUUUAGGCUUAUUAACAUUUCCUUAGUAAAUAAAAUCGAUAUGGAAUGGAAGACAAUUAAAUAAAACACUUAACAUAUAUUUCCGGAUGAAAGUCAUACAGGUAAUAGGUUGGGACAUUCCCAAAAGUAAGGCACAUAACUAGCAAAAAUACAUACAAAUAAUCCCUUAAACAAAAAUUAGGGAUAUGGUGCCUCAGAAGCAAGUCAUCCGCCUCGACAAAACUUGAUGACCUAGCUAAUGUCCCUCUAUUCUAACCCUACAUAUCCAAUAUAGUCAAAUCAAUCCAAGCCUAUCCCUCCGCAGGGCUAUCAGGAGCUAUGUCCUCCUCCGGAUCCUCCUCCGGGUCCUCCUCCGGAUCCUCCUCCGGAUCCUCCUGCUCUACACUCUGAAGGAUACUCGUGGCCUCAUCUAUCAUCAUUGAGGCAUCAGCCCUGAUGCCUGCACUCCUAUCACGCAUCCUCUCAGCUAGUCGAGUCGCCCUAAACUUCUGUCGCUCUAUCUCCAAACGAGCAGCCUCCAGCAAAUGAUGCUCAGCAGUUAGCCUAACCUCCAAAUCUGCUAUACGGUCGAACUGGGUAUCCACCAUGAUACUCAGCUCCUCUACAUCCUGGGUCAUGGUGAAGUUAGCGUCCUUCAGCUGGCGACGCUCAUCAUCCAGGGAUAGUACUAGCUCAUUGGGGUAGGCAUACAUGGCCCUACACUGGCACCGAGGAUGCCUAUCAGCUGGGGUGUAACGUAUAUGGGCUCCUCCACCUCGUGGUCUGUAAGAGAUCGACCUAAGAGGCUCUAUGUGUCCAUUUGACGCCCCAUGACCAAUAGCGUGUCCAUUACCAUUCUCCAUACCUGCAAAAGAAUUAAACUUAGAGGUUAGAACUCAAAUAGCUAAUUAGAUCCGCAUCACUUAAAACAUAUCUAAGGGUCUCAAUUCUUACUUCUAAACAAAUCGGGGUCUCCUAACUUGUGUAGUAUAUCUCUGAAGUAAUUUUUCUAACCUAGGCUCUGAUACCACCUGUGGCGACCCCACUUCCCCCUGAGGCGAACCAAAGGGUUGGCGGGCCGUCUGCCCAACUCUCGCCAGGACUCACGCGAGCAAUCUAACCCGAAUCCUUUCGAAGAAUAACCUAAUAUAUUACAAAACAACUUUUCCCGAAUAGGAUCAUCCUUAAAGCCACAUUAACUUCAGAGAUAGCAUUGAUAAAAUAACCAGUCGGUGCUCUUAAACGUCCUACGUGCUACGUACCAAAGUAUAAAGUCGCACCAAACCGGAUAGAUACAUAUAUAAACCCCAAAUACAAAUCUACAAACCAAGUAAUCGAAUUGGGGUUUACCCAUUUUCCAGCUUCAAGUGGCAGUCCAAAAUGAAAAGUGCAAUGCUUAGAUUACAAUCCAUUACAAACCGAAAAUUACAAUCAAAUUGUUCAAGUACAACCAUAAGAAAUACAAGCUGCUCAAAUACUUUCAACUUCACAUCCUGUAAGGAAAAAAAAUAAACAUGGGGUGAGCUAAAACUCAGUGGUGCCCCAAAACAUGUAGUCACGUAAUUCAAACAGCGAUUAAUAACUUAAACAAGUUAAACAAUUAAGAAAGCGUAUAACAACACAAGGUAGGAUACAGGGGCUCUCAGGAGCCAUUUUCCCCGCUUGAUCGCCAUUUAUCGUAGUCGACCCUCCGUCAACUCUCACUACCUAUAAUCCAUGUAGAUCCACUCAUUUUAAUCCUAACCCGUCACCAUUCAUACCUCCGCUUCGGGCCCGAACUUCGUUUACCGACGCAGUAUACUCGAGAUAUACCCGUAAUAAAGUUUGCCGAGGGAUUCACCCAACGACAUUAUUGUAGUUCGAUUCAAGUGCCGAGGGAUUCACCCAACGACGUAACUACAUUUAGGUUUAAGGGUAUUGUAGUUCGAUUCAAGUGCCGAGGGAUUCACCCAACGACGUAACUACAUUUAGGUUCAAGGGUAUUGUAGUUCGAUUCAAGUGCCGAGGGAUUCACCCAACGACGUAACUACAUUUAGGUUCAAGGAUUUAUGAGGAAAAUGAUUCACACAAGUCACCAAUCGAACGGCUAAUGCGAUAAAGUACACACUGCUCACUUCGAUGGAUCAAAAGCUCAUUUUUGCAAUUUAUCACAUAUCGAGUCAAGAAAGCACUUAAUUCAAGUAGGAAAAGAACAGGCAGGGACACUCACCAAGAGUGGAGUUCAGGUGUUAGAUUGGGGAUCGAAUUCCGCGUCCUCGAGAAAUCCUAGAAACCAAAUUUUGAAACUAUAAGUUUCUAUUUAGUGGUUAAACUUAUUCAUGUAAGAAUUUAUUUAAUUUAAUACUAGUUUACUUUCUCGAGAGAUUUCAAAAAAAAACUAUUUAGAUUGAAGCUUGACGAAAGUGGUAAAAGUGUUUCUUAUUAUAUUCAUCUUUAGAGAAGGUAACCGGUAUUAUUUACUAGAAACAAGUCGACAAACUUCUCAAAAUCAUAGUUAGAAGGUUACUUUGAAUAUUUCUUUAAAGCUACGGCUUUUAUAAAAAUUACUAUUAAAACUAUUUCUCCUAGAAUAGGGUUUCUUGCCGAGCAAGUCUCCCACGCUUUUCACUAAAGUUGGUAGAACUCGAAUUUUGAAACUUUCUUGUAGUUGACUAUCCAAGCGCAAAGUUUAGAGAAAGAAAAGAAUUAAAACAAGACUUAGAGUUUCCGAAAGCUAUACAACUUAUUUUCUAGAACUAUCAAGGCUAGUUUGAGCGGAAGGAAAUUAUUGAAUUGGAAAGUUUUAGGCAAAACGCUAGAUAUAGAGUUUUAUAAUAUAAUCCUAGCUGGAGAAUAUUUUUGGUUAAUUUUUGAACGCAGCUACUCGAGUUCGUAAGGUCUAUACAAUUUCCCCGCUCCGAUUCCGUUUCGAAAUCACAAUAUAGAUCAAAAUAUAGCAAAAAUCACAUAGCACGUUACUAGGGCUUCGUCAAUCAUUAGCCCUAGCUUUCAACAAUUGCAUUUCCGAAUAAAAUAAAAUAGUCAACCAAGGCUUCAUCAAUCAUUAGCACUUGGUUUCAGCAACCCAAUAUAAGCAAAUAAAAUAAAAGUGAAGUCCCAAGACAUUCCAGCAAUCAUUUUCCGUCAUCCAGUAAUACUUUAUAAAAAGAAAUCAUUUCAAUGGCUAAGGGCUUCAUCAAUCAUUAGCCCUUAGCACUCAACCAGUAAUUCUUGUGACAACCAAGCUAACAUAUCAAAUAUUUAAAUCUGCUAACAGUUAUUUAGAACCAAAGAUCACAUUUGCAGCAGCCUCCUAUUCAAGUAUUUGAUCCAAAGCCAAGAAAUACUAUCCACAAUAUCACAUUGUCACCCCGAUAAUCAAAUGCAUGACCAUCUCGAGGUAUUAUAAAACGAAUUCAAUAAGUAGUACAAUUUUUCCACAGCCCCAAAAUAUAUAAAGAAAUCAAUACGUAACUAUUUAUCACUCAAGACCAAGGCUGGAAAAUUUUCCAGCUUUUCCAUAGCUACACUUUACUUAUUUCCAAAUCGAAUUCCCAAGGUAUCAAAUGAUUCAUUGUCAAACAGAUUUCACAGCCUACGUGUGCAUUCUUUAUCAUGCAUCUCAGGUUCUUAACAUCCCAAAACAAUUCAAAAAUCUAUCUAGCAAACUACGGAUGAACCUUGUAUGGAGGAAUUUUCUGUUUUCACCUUAUUUACUCGGAUGAAGUAGGCUAUUAAACUCUCACUUUCUCAUGCAAUGACUUAGCUAAACAAUGCACAAUUUCCAUUCAGGAGUUGAAGCUAAACCACUGUUAUAAUCUUCAAGAUUUCCAGGUUCAAGUUAACGGUAAUUCACAAAGGAAUUCCAGCAAUAGCAAUGAUUUCAAAACAGAAUUUUUCUUUGGUUAAAACAGGAUUUUUGGUAUUCUAUUAGCUCUUGAAAACAUGUAGCUAGCUAGUAAAGAUUUCCAAAUCAAAUCCAGGUUCAUACUAUAACUGUAUUCAUCAAACACAAUCCAGGAUUUAUAUCAACUAAGCUCGGAUGAUAGUUCAUGAAAUAAUUUUCUGUUUUCAUUUUUAUUUUCCUGGUUAGCCAAGCUACAAAACCUUAUGCAAACUUCAAUUAACAUGUUGUUAACUAGUUAAUCAUAUACAUUAACUCGUAAAAGCCCCAUAAUCACAGAUUGAGAACUAAAAAUCCAAUUCCAGGUCUCGGAAAUUUCAGGUCAUACGAAUUCCCAAUCCACUUAAACCAGAAUUUUUUCCAAGUUCCCAAUUUCAUUAUCCACUCGUGCAACUCAACAUGCAGGCCCUUAAGUCUUUUACCUUCCCUUGGUUAGUUAAGAUAAUAACCACUGCUCAUCAAAAUUGGGCUAAUUAAACAAAUCAGUCCUUAGUCAUGCUCGGCAGAAGAUUGACAUCAAACCAGAAUUUCUUAGGUUCUUUAAUUCAUCAAUUAACUUCAUAGAAUUAACAUGCAGGGUCUUAGACAUCAUGAACAUUGAGAUUCACUCAGCUAAUUACUCUUGAGUGAUCAAAUUAUCACAGAAACACAAAAUUAUAAAUGCACUUCCAAGUCAUUUUCUCGGCAAAAUCAUUUUUCCUCAAAACAGAAUUUCUUUCUUCCUAAAUUCAUUAUCCGAGGGUCUAACAUGGACAUGCAAAGUGGUAAACAGUUUCAUUAGCUAGUAAUUAGUUCAUUAAUUCCCAACACAAGCUCGGUUUAUGACAGUUUAGCUGAUCAAAGUUGCAUUAUCAAAUUCAGCCCACGGACAUUCUGUUUUCCUUAAACCAGAAAUUUUCCAAAUUUUAUUUCAUCAUCUAUUCGCACCUAGCCAACAUGCAAAUCGAUAACUAACUUCAUCCCCUAUUAGAUAAUCAGAACUAUAAGUUCCAGAACAACAAACUGGAGCCAAGUGAGGCUGCAUUGUCCAAAUCAAUCCUCGGCAGUCUGCAUAAUCAAGAAAAAAAAUUCCAGUAGCUUGGGUUCUAGUUCUUCCUUGGGUUAUCCGUGGAGUUGGAUGCUCAAGAUUAUCAUGCAAUAGCUUAAUCAACCUUAUAACCAAUUUAAAUGGAGCUCAGAAAUCACCUCACAGCUACUAGAUUCUCGGACAGAAAAUUUGAAAAGUUCCUCCCUCUCGGCUCUCACUCACGAAGCAGAAUCUGGUUGCAGCUGGUGGUUUGUUGGUCGAAGAUGAUGAUGGUCAGCAGCUCCUACGCCCUCCACUAGCUCUCCUCUUUCUUUUCUCUAACUCACGAACAGAAAUGGAAGAUGUGCAGCUCGGUCUCUCACUUCCUCUCGGUCGAUGAUAACAAAGUGGGAGUAGAAUGCUAUCUGUGGUAGAAGGUGUGCAGAGGUUAUGGACUGAUGUUGUGAGGUGGUGCUGCGGUUUUUGGAGGAUGGUUGAGUGUUAGCAGAGCUUGUGUACGGCAGUGGUGAAGGUUGUGAUUGGCCGGCUGGGGUGGUGGAGCUGCGGUUGGCUGAAUGGAGUGGCUGGUGAUCAUGAUGUCCGGGAGUUGUUUGGCUUUGCAGAAAAUGGUCAUGGCCGUGGGUGAUGUUGUGAAGCUGUGAGGGUAUUGCAGACUUUUCACUACUUCUCCAAUUAGCCACUUAAGUCCUUGGUCCUAGCUUAGCUCCAAAAUUUGUCCCCAAGAUUGAUUUGAACGCCUAAUUGAAUCGCUAAUCUUGCAAGACUUUGGUUAUCACCAAUUUAGGUCCUAAAUAUGGUUAGGGUGCUUGUAUUAUUUUGAUCUAGAAUUUAUUGAUUACAAAUUAAUAUUAAGCUUCCUUUAACGUUUAACAUUCUUGUUUGGUUAAUUAAACUUAUUAAAAUCAAGUUUGACCAAUAUAUAAAAAUCUAACAUUUUAUGUUAAUUCGAAAAGAAAAUUUAAUCUAGCUCUACACGUCUUAACUUAGUUUAGCGAAACCAAGGAAUUCAUAACUUAGAAAAAAUUAUAUAAAUUUCCACAUAAACAUGUUUUACGUACUUAAUUGCAAACAAGUAAAAGUAGUACUAGGAAAUGUUAAAGAAUAAAAAGAAUGCAAUUUACAUACGAAAUGUUAUUUAUGUAAGCAUUUUCAGGGUUCUCACACUAACCCAUGUUUAACGGCAAAGAAAAUGAAAUGCACGCUAGUGGGACUGACCCAUGUUUAGCGGCAAUGAAAAUGAAAUGCACGCUAGUGGGACUCACCCAUGUUUAGCGGCAAUGAAAAUGAAAUGCACGCUAGUGGGACUAACCCAUGUUUAUUGGCAAUGAAAAUGAAAUGCACGCUAGUGGGUCUGACCCAUGUUUAGCGACAAUAAAAAUGAAAUGCACGCUAGUGGGACUAACCCAUGUUUAACGGCAAAGAAAAUGAAAUGCACGCUAGUGGGACUGACCCAUGUUUAGCGGCAAUGAAAAUGAAAUGCACGCUAGUGGGACUCACCCAUGUUUAGCGGCAAUGAAAAUGAAAUGCACGCUAGUGGGACUGACCCAUGUUUAGCGGCAAUAAAACAUGAAACGCAAUGUAAAUGAAAGGCUCACUAGUGGGACUGACCCAACGGCUAGUGGCAGUGUAAAUGAAAGGCGCACUAGUGGGACUGACCCAACGGCUAGUGGCGGUGCAAAAAAAAUGCUCACUAGUGGGCUGACCCAACGGCUAGUGGCGGUGCAAAAUGAAAUGCUCACUAGUGGAACUGACCCAACGGCUAGUGGCGGUGCAAAAUGAAAUGCUCACUAGUGGGACUGACCCAACGGCUAGUGGCAGUGCAAAUGAAAUGCUGGUAUGUAUGAAGAAACUGUAUAAAACUUGCUCAAAAAAUUAUCCAAAGAUUUGCCCCAGUGUGAUGAAUUGGUCAGUGGGAUUAAACCCGAGUCUGCCUUAGUUGGUGGUACAAAAUCCAAACCCAACAUGAUGUUUGUGAAGUUGGCGGCACAAAAUCCAGGCCCAACGUGAUGUUUCAAAAAAUAAGAAAUUAAAUUUGAUUUGUCAAAAAACAAGAAAUUAAACUUGAUUUUUUUUUAUUUUUGACUUUUCUGAUUUUUUUUUCUUUUUUUUCAUUUUUUUUUUGAGAGAAUCUUUUCAAAAAUAAUUCGUCCCAAUGUAGGGCCCUUUUUCCUUCUUCUUUCUUCACUUUUUUCGGUAUCAGCCUUCCACAUCACUAGCUGCUUUUUCGUUGAUUUCAGUCAUAAAUACCUACACAGGGGGCUUAUUAAAGUAUAACAUGCAUUUAAAUUUCAUUAAAAGAGCAGCGUGAUUGAUUCGAAAAUGUCUUGCUUGACUCUUGAACGAAAUCCUCAAAAGUGUUAUAAAAAUUUGCCCCAGUGUGGGCUUCUUUUGUAAAAUCUCACAAAUAAAAAUUUGCCUCAGUGUGGGCCCAUUCGAUUGCAAAAAAUUUUGUUCAGAUGAUUCCCCAUUUACUUGAACAAAGAGAAACCGCACUUUCUAAAAUUUAGAAAAUAAUCAUAUAUACAAUGUGAAGAAACUUAAACGUCGAGUUUGAACUCAUGCAGAAAUUUCAUGAUGAAUCCCUCAAAGUAACACCAAAUUCAAGAAGAUUUCUUCCUCACUUUUAGCAUCGGUGCUUAGGGUAACGGGUCACCACUUCUUGCUGGCUCAUCUUUCAGGACCAAUCAAGUGGGCGUUAUUUCUGAUUUGGAAGUGGCUAAAGGAAAUGGGAGGUCAAGAUUUUGUUUUAUUUUUGUGUCCAUUCAAAAUCACAUCUUAGUGAAAGCAAAUAGUUUAUCACCCUUAUUUCUUAAGAAAACUUAGUCAACACAUAAGCUUUGUAAGCUUGCAACAGAGGGGUAGAAACGAUACCAAAACAUGCGGAAACAGGUUAUAAUCUUAUGAUCAUGAGUGACAAGUAGAUUUCUUAGGAGCGUAACCCUUGCUUUGAAUUAUCAUGAGGGAUAAGUCAGCGAUGAACUUUACAAGCUUGUAAUGCGGCUGGAAAACGAUAGUUAAAGAAAAAAAUUUCGAGGGUAUUGCACCGAAGGUCGCAUUUUUCUCAAAAUUGCUCUCAUUUCGUACUCAAAGAUCUCGACCUUUGUUUGACUUUUAUAAUCACUCAAUAGGGACUUUCAGCAUCGGAUCUUUGUUUUUUUUGCAUUUUUCUUGCAUUUACUUUUUGCUUCUUUUUUCUUUUUUUCUUUUUUUCUUUUUCUUGACCUGGUGGGUUUUCACAUGGUGAGUAGUGUCAACCCCAUACCCAAACAAUUCAGAAAUACAGCUAAAAUUUUCUGGCAUCAGAGAUUUUCUUGACAGGGCCAUUGCAAAGAAAAGAAAUCAGGACUUUCAGCUUUUGUAAUGGGGUCUGGUAGGGUGUUUAGAAAAGUUAAGGCUUGAAGGCAGAUUUCAAAAGUGGUUUAAGUAAUAUGAGAUCGCAUUGUUGCGCCAACCCCAUUUAGGGUUAAAUCAAAGUUUGCCCCAGUUCAUUCUCCAUUGAGGCUUUUCCUUUCAUUUUCAUUCUUUUCUUUUCUUUUCUUUUCUUUCUUCUCUUUUCUGGCCUUCGGUCGUUUCAUUCACCGAGGUUUUCUUUUCUUUCAUUUUCUUUUCUUUCGGCCUUCCUUCAAAAAUUAAAUUUGCCCCAGUUUGGGGUUUUUCUUUUCCCUUCUUUUCCAAAACUCAAUUUACCCCAAUGUGGGGUUUGCGAUUCUCAGGAUUUGCCAAACGAAAUAAUUUAUCUGAAUGUUCAAAAGGGAUAACUAGGAAUAGAAUGUUUGAUUGGAAAGUAAGACGGCCUGACUUUCGCUCCAUUCCUCACAUUGACCCUGAAAGGAAACUUUCAUUAAUGCGAAAUUUCUUGCAUGUAUCUGAAUUAAUUGACUGAGGAAGACUCUUGUUCAUCCAUAUUUGUGAAACAUAAGUUAUCCGCCGGACAAAACUCGUCCUUUUUCUCUUUUCUUUUCUUUUCUUUUCAAAAUUGAAACCCAGGUAGAAUCAAAUUUUCCCAAUUUGCGGUUCCUUUUUUUUUUUUUUUUUUACAAAAUUUAGCUUUUUUUUUUUUUUUUUUUUUGCAAAUUUCCCCAAUCUCCUUCCCCAAUGUGGGGUGCGAUCAUAAGUGCAUUCAAAAAGAACCAUCUAUUUUGGCUCAAAUGAGGAUGCAAAGGGUAAUCAGUGUCUAGGUCGUAAAAACGAUGGCCAAAGCAUCAUUCUUACGCCUCAUGACAACCAAAGUAAAGAAUAGCCCAUUGAGAACCCAUUCCCUUUUGAAAAUUUUCCCAAUGUAUGGUAGUGAUCAUUAAGGCGCUUAUUUGAAACGAAAUUAUUCUUUUAAAUGCUCAAAUGGGAGAGCAAAUGAUAAAAUCUGUAUGGAUAGAGAAACGAAUAUUUAAAGUAUCAUUCCAAGUUUUCAAAACAAAUAAGAAUAAUGUAUAUUUUUGCUUUCACUUAGAUGUGGAUUGAAUCUGAUUAGACACAGUGGCCAUUUUCAAGCAAAGAUUGCCCCAAUUUACAAUUUAUCAAUCAAUGUGACUGAUUUUAUUUUGGGGUUAACAGAAAUGGGUAAAAUAUGAAUUGUACAGUGGAGGAGAAAAGGAUAUUGUAUUGGGUCUUCCGAAACCAACCAAUCAAUUUGAGUGGCUUCUUUUAAUUUCGAGCACUCAUAUUGUACAGUUUGGAUCACCAAUCUAGUGUAUACACUUGUGAGUUUUCAAGCAAGAGGUGGCAAAAUCUCAUUUUGGUCUUAUUUCUUGAAAUUCAUCCUGAAAUCUCCAAUGAGCAAAAGAAAGAAUGAAAUGUACAUGAUUAUAUACAAAAUAAUAAUUGUAUAAAUAAAAAACUUUAUUGCUAAAAGAAGUUUAAAACAAAAUUUCUUGUUCAAUUAUAAUACAAAUGAGAAGAGAAAAACUUCUAAAGAGCUCCACAUAUACAUUUUUUUUGCCUCAUUUUCUCUUGGAACAAGAAUAUAUUAACAAAUCCAAUAAACAGAAUUUUUCUUUGAAAAACAAUUAUGAAGUCUCUUAGAGGCCUUAGCCUAACGCUUCCAAAUAGAUCUUUCAUGCUUUCAUUGCAAGGUCUGCCCAAGAAUCAAGUAAUACUUGUAAUUUUCAAACUUUAUUAGAUCAAAAAUUGUUAUCAGAUAUAGAAAAAUAUUUUCACCUUAUUGAAACAUUUUAUUUUUUAUGAAUGCAGGGGAGGGGGAAAAAAAGAAAAGAAAAAAAUAUCCCGAGUUAGUAAGUAAGACUAUAAAAUCGGUAUGCAUGUCCUAUGGGGGAGCCCUUUUAUGCCAAGGGUAGACCUAGCAUGAAAAUGCAAUCCUCUGGGGUAGGCACUAUACAAUACCUGAUGAAUCCGAUCAACUGACGGGCGAAAAAUAAUUUGAAAAAUUUGACCAAUUGGAGUGAGAAGAGACAUUUGUCCUAAAAAUGAGGACAAAGUCCGAAUGGAUUGCUUGCUUUGAUCAACAUAUAAAAUGAUGUGUAAAAGAACCUACUCUUGAAAGGAUUGCAAUGUCUCGACUAAUUUAUUCUGUGAACCUUAGACUUAAACACUAAAAAGGAAUAAGCGGGUCAAGAGGAUAGGAUGAAAUUGGUGAUUUAUUCAAAAUUGACUAGAUUCCCUUAAAAAGGGUAAAAUGGUCAAAUACAUUGAAUGAAAUUUGAUUAUUUAUUCAAAAUUGAAUGGAUAACCCUGAAAAUGAAUGAAAUCAAUUGAUCAAACAGAUCGAGUGAAAUGAUGAUUUAUUCAAAAUCAACCGAAUUGUCCUAAAAAUAGGCAAACUGGUCAAAUGGAUCGGACGAAAUUGAUGAUUUAUUCAAAAUCGAUAAGAUUGCCAUAAGAACUAAUCAAAUGAAUUGAAUGAAAUUGGUGAUCUAUUCAAAAUCAACUAAAUUGCCCUAAAAUGGGUAAACUAGUCAAAUGAAUUCAAAAUCGACUAGGUUGCCCUAAAAAUAAACAAAUUGAUAAAAUGGACUGGAUGAAAUUGAUGAAUAAAAUGGUCCAAUGGAUUGAAUGGAAUUGACAGCUUACUUAAAAAUCAAUCUAUCCAUUGGUAGUUUCAAAAAUUUAUUGCGAUGCAUUAGUCUAUGAGCCUUUUAAUAUCAAAUUUUGGCCUCAAUUUAUUUAUCGUCUCAACAGUGAGGAAAUAUUGGUGAAUUUCUUCAAAUUAAUGUCCUUUACGCAAGGGAUUUUUACCAAUUUUGAUAAAAUGGCCAAAAAGUGAUUAUUAGACGCUCAUAUUCCAAAGAUCACUCUAUGAAAAUGAUCGGAUCCUACCUUACCUUGUGCACUACCCAUUUGGAUGGUACAAAAUGUAAACGUGCAAGUCUCAUUGGAUUAAGUAUCCAAGACACAGGGCAGUUUAUUCCUAAUACAAGAUCCCCUAAAUGGCAUUCCCUCUAUGGCUCAUGCAUGAUGCCAAUUUAUCAAAGCGACUAAAUAUGCAGUACACCAAAUGAAACGUGACCUAAAGGAACCCCCUUUUUGUAUGCCGGGGUGAGCCUAAAAUGAAAUGUAUUCAUGUUACAAAUGCGAAGCAUUGAAUUUAAACGUGUCACAUCAAACGGGGUAGGCUCCUAGAGAGUACCAUGCCAGGACUCUUAUUUUCUAGGGCUGAUGAAUGCAAUAGAGACAAAAACCAAGAAAAGUUAGUUCAAUCGGAUAAAUACACAUAACACAUUGUAGCAAAGCAAUACAAAGAGAUAAAGUAAUAAAAGGAAAAAAGGGGUUGGAUCCCACCCCUCGUGAAUAGUGUCCUUAAUAGGGUAAGGCAAACUCUACCCUAGGAAAACUAUCAUGGAUGCAUGAGGUAUUGGCUCACUAAUGCAUCUAGACUCGACAGGUUUUAGGUCCCCGAGCCUUCAGACUUGGAAACCAAGGGUCAUCAAUCCCAAGGUUCUUUGUCGGUGGCUCGAGCGAUUUCCCAGACAUUGCUACGCACACGUCGUGUCACGGCUACAUAUCUGAGUGAAUCUAUCAAAAAUCCUCAACCUUCGACUAAAAGCUAAAGGCUAUUAACCCAAAGCUUAAAGCGGAAGAUUGAGUGACCCCUCGGAUCAUGCUACGCACACGUCGUGUCACGAUCACACGUCCAAAUGGGUCGCCUAAUCCUAAUAGGGUGGAGUGGCGUGACAAGCCACUAAAAGAAAAAUAAAUGCGGGAUAAAAAGUAAAGCGUAUGCACGUAUGCUAGUGCUCGGUUUAGAGGGGAGAGAUCGGGAGCCAAUGCGAGGCUCUAGAGUAAUGUCCCCCCAUCCCAAUGCAAUGCAAAGCGCGGGAUAAAAUAAACUCUCCAUCCAUCAAAUCAAACGUAGGCGAAUGGGUGAGGAAGUGAGUUGAUACGCGCGAAACACAAAAAUCCUAAAAAGGAAAAAAAUGCAAUCCUAAAUAUCCAAAUGUAAUAUAUAAGAAGGAUAAAAGAAGAAAAAGAAUCGACUAAAUUAAAUGCUCGGACUCUGUAAGUCCCCAGUGGAGUCGCCAGCUGUCGCGCCCCAUUUUUUGAAAAGAAAAAUAAAUGGUUUAAAAAGUGAAUUUUGGUUUGAUUUUUUAUUUGAAAAAGGAUUUUUGAUUUAAAAAGAAAAUGGGCCUAAAUGGGGUUUGUAAUGCGACGAUUUGGGCCCAAAUUAUAGUUUAAAAAGGGUUUUUGAAAUAAAAAUCGGAGUCGCCACUUGGUAUUGAGUUAAGGUGUACCAAGUAACCUAAAAAUGAAUUUUUUAAAGAAAAAAAUAGAAAAACCCCAAUUAAACGACUCCAAGUCUACGUAAAUCAAAGAAAAAGGUUCGGGAGUCACAUUUGAAGAAAGGGAAGGUAAGGAUAAAAAUCCGAGGCACCCUUUCGACCUAGCCAAGACUAGUUGCGUGAUUUAGUCAAAGAUUUCUUAUUCUUAAUCUAAAAAUUUAUCACAUUUGGACGUACUAUAUGAAUGCAAACCCUAGAUCUAAGAGGGUGUCGGGGGGUCGAAAUGUAUCUUCAAAGCUUAUUUGGUACCAAUCACAUUAAUUGUGAUGCCCAAUGAAGACUCUUCGAAGAAGUCACGAAUAAUGCAAAAAUAUGAGACUCUAAGAAAAGAAAAGGAAUAAAAUAAUUAUACAAAUAUACAUGUCUUAAAGGAGUGCAUCAUGUCGGGUACGGGGGACUAAUGUUCGUGAUUCAAUUUUUCCUUUAAUAGAGGGAAUACGAGCGUGCUAAUACUAGAAAGCCAAACUCGUCCAUAUCCCAUAUUCAAGGGGUUAUCCCUAAUCUAAUCAAACAAAUGUACUAUUCUAAUUCUAAUUCUUAAAUGAAAUGCAAAUCUAAUGUUAUGUAUCACACAUAGGGGUAAGGAAUAUACAUAUAUAAGGGGAAAUACGGAAUAGGGGAUAUAAAUAGAAAGGAAUAUGGGAUAAAGGAUGUACAUAUAGAAGAAAAGUGUCAUGCAACAUGGAAAAGACCCUAAAAAGUGAAAACAUGCAUGAGAUGAAUGAUUUUAUCACACAACCAUGAUCUAACGUUCGAAAGGCUCCUAAGGGUCUAGCGUUGGAUUAGACCACAUCUACAAGUUCUCACUAGCGUUGGACUAGUGGAAAAUCGGAACAAAGAGUCACAACUAGCAUUGGACUAGUGUGGAUUCGAGAAAAGGGGUCACAACUAGCGUUGGACUAGUGUGGUGACGAUAUGCAUUUGUUACAAUCAAAUAAAUAUCAAAUAAAUCAUGUAAAACCUAAUAAAAGCAUGUAAACACAUAAUAUCACAUAAACACAUAACACAUAAUCAUGAUAUCUAGAUGCAAGACCCUAAGAAAGCGGUAACACAUAGCACGUAAGCAUGUAAAUCACACCAAGCAACUAAAGCAAACAAGCCCUAACUAUUACAAAAGGGGGGAGCCUACUACAAUCUAAGAGGGGGAAACGGAGUAAAAUAAAUAAAAUAAUAACAUAACUAUUAUAACUUUGGCAUUCAAGUGCCUUUCAAAUGAUCAAAAUUGAACUAAAAAUAAAUAUACAAACUAAAGCCACCAAAGAAAAUAAAUGAAAUAAAUAAAUAAGUAAUAAUAAAAACAUUUAAGAGGCAUGCAAUUAAACACGUAAAAUCACAUAGGGCACGUAGGGUCAAAUAAAGUCAAAAUAAGGGAUAGAGUGUACCUCCCUUGCAAUGGUAAUCAAACGAAGGAAAAAUAGCUUCAAAACAAUAAAAGGGUCAAGGCACCAAUUAAAUAGUAAAGUAUAAACAAAAUCGCCAAAUCCAUCCCAAUUGCAACUUAAAUGAAAUCAAAUAAUGCAUAUUUUCCAAAAAAAAGUAAAUUAUUGAUCAAAUUUCUAAAAUAGCAACUACUAAAGACCCAAUAGCAACCCUUAACCAAUCAUUUAAGUCCAAUUGAACAUUUUUGGGAAUUUCAAAGGCCCAUAAGUAAUGAAAAAGUCAAGUAAUCACAAAUAACCACAUAAAUGUUAAAGCCUUUAAGUAACUAAACAGUCCAUAUUCACAACACUAGGAUCCAAUUGAAUGGAAAAAAAAAGUUUAAGGGAGGGUCAAUUUGAUUGGUGUUUCCAAUUACUCGAGCCAUAGUAGAACAAAGGGAGACUUGGAGGGCAAAAGUGCAAUUUUUCAGAAAAUUUUCAUGCAAGUCCAUGCAAACUACGAAUGAAAUCAAGCUUCUGCAACUACUUCAUAAACCGAAAAUGAAAAUAUGCUGCACAUUUCCCUCAAACCCAGAUUUCUUGAGCAUAACUUUGAUUAGAUAUUUCCAAACCAACAUCACAAAUUCAAACUAAGCAACCAACUUCAUAGUCACCACCAUUCAAACAAGCAGGAAACUUAGCAAGAUCUGGCGCAAAAAAAAUCUGGAAAAACAUGGAAAAAUGGUUCGGCAAAACUGAUUGUUUAUUUUCCAACAUGUAUUCUAACAUGAUUCAAAUGUUUUAGACCCUAUCAUGCAAACUCAACUUUACUCAUCCAUUUUUUUUCUUUCCAACGUAAUAUCUACAAGCAAGUUAGGUGUCAAAAUUUGGUGAACAGUCGCGAAAAGGAAAAACAGCAAAGAGGACGCAGCGGCUUUUGUUCUGCUGCAAAUUUUGCAGCUUCAAUUCGCGUGGCACUCAAACCAAAACAUCUAUAGUUUAGACCAAAACAAACGAGUUCACUACCAAUCAUUCAAUUACCUCUUUUCAAAAAAGUCAGAUUAACUAGCUUCUCUACCAAACAACAAAGCUAUGAUCUCAAGCAUCAAAACCACCGAAACUCGACAUUCAAGCAAACAAUUCUUAGGCAACAAUUCUAUUCUUCUGUUACUCCUGGGUUUACUUUAACAGGUUCACAGGCUACACAAAACAGUCUCCAAACUAACAAAGAGCAUGCAAUCUGUACAACCAAAAACUAAAGUAGCAUGGACAACAACAAAAGACGGCAAACUCGUGAAGCUCCGCUGUUUUUCUGAGUUCAAACUCAGCAAACGUCACACAAGUUAAGCAAAAUAGAGCAAUUAACCGUGAAUCAUGAACCCAAUCCAAACUUUCUACUAAUGUGUCAAGAUAGAAAAAAAAAUUCCCAUGUUUUGGCCUGAGAAUCAAAUUGAAACAGGACCCAUCCCUAUAUCUAAUCAUGCCCAAGAAAAGACAGAAUAAAAACUUGUAAAGUUGGAAACUUUCUACAUUCUCUCACUCGGCUAAACAUAUUUGUGCAAUAACUCCCACAAAACCUAUUGAUUCAUUACCCAAAACCCAGAAACCCAGAUGUUAUAGCUAUCUAAUGUUAUUAAGAUUAUCUCAGCGCAACCACUAAUUACCUACGGCUGCAACAUACAAUAGAAGAUAAGAAAUGCUACGGAGACAUAAAGAAAGAAACUUGCAAUGAAUUCAUGCCAUAAUGUGUCAAUCGAACAACCAACAAGCACAGUACAUCAUAAGAACAAACUCUAGGAAAGGCAACUAAACGAAUUCUGUGGAGAGUAAGUAACCCCAACGUACCUAAACGCAGAUGAACAACAAAAGGGACAGCUUUGGGAGCGGUUUGUUCGGCAAAGUUAGACGGCAGCAAUGGUGACAGCAAGGAAGACAGCUCUAAUUCCGCUCUUGGAUUUCUCUGUUUCCUUUUGCUAUUUUUUCCCUCUGGUUUCUAUCUCUCUUCUAUCUCUCUAACCCUAACCGCCUCUUAUUUUCAUCAGCCGUUACUCUCUCCCUCGCUCUCUCUCGGUUUCUCUCUUCCCUAGCCGUCAAAACUCUCAGCCUCACUCCCAAAACCCCAGCCGCUGUACCUUACCCUUUUUCUUUUCAGUCGUUCCUCCCAUGUUCGGUAGCCUUUGAAGUUCUCACUCAGUCCCUCGUUCUCUAGUUUCUUUUUUCCAGCCGAGCUUCCUCACUUGCUCCAGUUUCUCUACCCGAUCCUUUCUCCUAGCUCUCUCUCGGUUUCUCUCCCCCCACACCUUUUUCCUAUCCUUUCCACUGCCUUUCUUUUUCCGCCGUCAUCUCCUCCAAUUCUUCUUUUUCUGUCCCCUUUUUAUAUCGAGUGGCCAAAUCCAAAACCCUGAUAUCAAGGGUUGUCACUAAACCUCAGCUCCAUUUUCUUUCUUUCACACCAUUAGAUCAUCCUUAGCUUUUCGGAUGAGAGCCAAGUGGAAUGGGGUUAAAGGUAAUUCAGUUGUGAUGAAAAAAAAUGGUGGGAAAAAGAAAAUAAGAUUGCGCUGCACUUUCUCGUAUUUUAGCUUCAUGUUUCUGCUUGACAAUGAAAUAUGGAGAUAGAGCUCGGAUCACAUGCAGCUCGCACAAGCAUGAGCUUGGUCUGUUCCAUUUUUUUUCUUUUCUUUUUUUUUUGAUUGAUGAUUUUAAAACAAUUAAAAUAAAAUAAGAGACACGAAACACAAAUAAUAUAAUAUAAUAUAAAAUAAAAUAAAAAUAAAAAACCUAAAAUUGAAACAAAUAAAUCUAAAAUUAAAUUAAUUAAAUAAACAAAGUUUAAAAUCAAAAAUUUGGUGUCAACAUAAGCCUUUUGGCUGAACCGAGCCCUUAUCCCUCAUUGCCAGUCGACUCGAGCCAGAAGCGGAUUCAGUCGGGUAGCUGAUGACCCUGGGACUGUUUGGUAUACUUGAGUACUAUCACGAAAUCUGGUGGAGAACUAGCCAAUGAAUUCAAUGCAAUGAAAUCAAUAAAUGAAUAACAUGAAUAAUGAAGGAGUUUUCACUUGCAAAUGUUUUCUAAUGUCGGAGUGAUAAGGAAAAUGGUUGGCGAAUGAAUGAAUGAAUAAUUUGAAUGAAUGGCUCCAAGUGAGCACGUAUCCUUUCAAUGAAUGAAUGAUUGAUUCUUGAAUAACUGCUUAUUACUAUGCCAAGUGUGUAAAGUGCUAAAUGUAAAUAUUUCUGUGUUUUGUCUACUUGAUUGCUUGUUUGGGAAUCUCACUGGAUUUUUAGUUCAUUCCAUUAGCUUGUUUUCCUUACAGGAGUGGAGGUUGGAGCAACUAAGCGUGAACUAGUGUGUAUAAGUUUCUUGUACUUAUACUUUUAUGGAUUGAAUGUAUUUGGCAUAUUUGGCAAUGCAAAGCUACAUUUCAUUUUUGGCUUGUAAAUGAAAUGAAAUUAUGGUUGAUUUGAGGACCUUCUAUGUUAAUCUAGAGGUGUAAAGACCCAUUUUCAAGAAUGCCAGUGAGUGAGUCCCGGCGAGAGUUGGGCAGGCAGUCCGCCAAACCCUUGGGUUCGCCUAGGGAGAGGUGCGGUCGUCACAACAAUGACCAACUAAAGUGAGUUAAGGCCGUGAGUUUCUUUUGUUUACAAAGUUCUAAUUAGGUUAAGAGUUGAGUCUUGUAAACCUAUAAAAAGGCAACUCUUUCGAUUCAAUAGGAGGAGAGAUGAUGUUAUGAAAGAAAAUUGAGAAUUCAUCUCUUUGUUGUUCCUUGUGAGCACCCUUGAUACAAAGUGAGUCAUGUUUUCUUUGUUCAAGUUUUGGCUUAUCAAUUCAAGACCGCAUUGAAUUGUGGUGGCUUCUACCCUUCUAACCAAUCUCGAGCUGUCCUUGAUUGGAUUAGAAUCCACCCAAUUUUGUCCAUAAUUUGAUUAAAAUAGAUCCUUUCGCUGCUUGAUUAACUGGAUUUUUCAAGACAGGUUCUUGCUAGGUCGAAUUCACAUCAUCUGGUAUCAGAGUUUCGACUCUUGAUUUAGGUUAAUAUCCCUUUUCUUUUCUUUUUUUUUUUUACUCUUUGUUCUUCUACCAAACACUGUCUUAUUUGAAAAAAAAAAUUCUAUUCAUCGUUCUAGGGUUUGAAUCUUCAUAGUUUUAUUCAUGUUCUUGCUUCUAGUUGUGUUUAUGUCUUGCUUUUAUUCAAUUUGCAAUCUUUUGGUUGUACAAAAAAAAAUUCCAUCCAUGGUUAUCAAGAAGAACCAUGAGGGUUUCUUCAUGUGUCCAGUCUAGUUUCUUGUUGUUCAUUAUGUUUGUUUCUUGUGUAAUUUGCCUGAAUCUUAAGUUGUUGUUUCUUGUUAGUUUUUCUCUAGAAUUUUGUGUUAAAUUCUGGUGUUUUUUGGUUGGUAUUGGUUCCAGAAAAUUUGACACAAAAAAAGAAAAAAAAUCCCAGCUGAUAGGGUUUAUUGUAUUCCAUCGCAUUUUGGUUCUUGUGUCAAGUUGUUUGUUGCUAAUUGGCCAAAACUUGGAGUUGCUAUUCUCUAUUGAUUCUGUCCAAAUUAUAGUGUUAAUUCUUGUUGUUAAUUCAUGUCAAUUGGUCACAAUUAGUCCAACAAAAAUUCGAAGACAAAAAUCCAGCCGUUAGAGUUCGUGUUUCUUGUUUCUGUCUGCAAUCGUUUUGAAUGACUAUCCUCACUUCUUGUUUCCAGCACCUUGUUUGAUUGUUUUUUCAUGAUUUUGUUGAAGUUUGAGUCAAGAAAAUGUAUACCAAUCAUUAGUUCUUGGGAAACAAAUCACUGGUCGCGACUCUCCUGAAGAAUUUGAUUCCUUGUUCUAGGAUUCUUGUUAGUCUUCAUUGUGAUUCUGGAAUUUUGUAAAGAAAGGUGGACAGACCGUGCAUAAUUUCUUGGAACUUUGAAUCACAAUUCUAGGUUUCUUGAAGUUCUUGAAUUGUUCAAGCAACAAUCUUUAAGUUCUUGAAGCAACAAUCUUGAUUCUUGAAGUUCAACUUUCAAACAUGUUUUGUGAAAAAUCAAGGUACCUUGAGUUGUUUGGGGGGGGGGAGAAGCUUCAAGUUUUUGUUGUUUCUUGAUUCUGGAAACAUCUUCAUACAACCUUGUGCGAAAUUUCAAAAAUUUUCUAGGUUUUGGGGGCUGAAACCUGAUCAUACCCAAACCUACAAAUUUUCUAGCAGCUAAGCCUCUUGUUCUUGUGUUCUUGACUGGUUUGAUUUUAACCAGAAUUUGGGCCACGAAAUUUUAUUGUUAUAGCCACAAAGCUUGAACCAUUAGACACAGAAAUCACACCCUGAUUGGUGCUUUUGAAAGUGACAAUACGCCUAAACAGAAAACAACAUAACAUUAGCUUCUACCAAUCCAAUCCCAAUUUGGACUACAAGUUUCUUAAUCCGACAGCUGUUUUGACCAAUUCUUGUUGAAAGCUCGGUGAAACCAGCUUUGAAAUCCCUAUUUCUUUGGGAAAUGGAGUUAGUUCCAGAGUUGUUCCAAGUCAAUAAGUCCAAAUUACAUUCCAAAUCACACCAGUCACAAACAAAGUCAAGAAACUACAAUUGUUUCACUUGUUCCAAUUGCCUUGCAUCAAGUCUUUAGAUUUUCCUCGUGUCUUUGUUAGUUUCCUUUUUCCAGUAGCAUCCAACCAAAUAUUUCAUUCUUGGAGUCCAGAAAUAAUGUCCAUAUUUUCCAGAAUUUUAGUCCUAAGAUCGGCAACAAAAAAAUUCCAGAUUUCUCAAGUGUCGAAAUUCUAGUUUUUUUUGGUGUCAUUCUUAUUAGUCUUGUGUUGCAACUUUGCUUGUUGUUUGAGCCGAUAAUUAUUAGUUAAUACUAAUUUCUGUUAGUGUGGCUUUAGUCCCACAUCACUAAUAGCAAAGGAAAUUCUUUUCUUUGUUACCUAUAAAUAUAGGGAGCUUGAGUUGGAAUUAAGAGUACCAAACUAAGAGAGCAUUAGUGAGCUAUUUGGGCCUUUGGGUCAUUAAGUCUUUUGUUCAGUUAAAUAUUUUGGACUCUCUUGUGUUUUAGUAUUAGGUAUUUUGGGCCUAGUAACAUUUUCCUAAGGCACUUAUGUACCCUCUUCUUCAUAGUAAAAUAUUGCUCCUCCUCCGCCCGUGGAUGUAGGUCAAUUUGACUGAACCACAUAAAUUCCUAUGUUCCUGUUUUAUUUAUUUCUGCUUUGUUAUUUGUCUUUUGGGGUUGUCAAAAAUCCUUUCGUCAAUUUCCUAGGGCCAGUUCUAAUAAAGUGGUAUCAGAGUUUGAGGUUAUUCUGAGUAUGCUCUGUGGUCACAGUUAAAUCUGAUCUUCCACAUCAGAAAAGAUAUCCUUGGACUCUAAUCCAUCUGUGGGAUCCGUCUGUGGGACCAGUAGAGUCUGUUUGUGGGGUCCGCUUGUGGGACCAGUAGGGCCUGCCCGUGGAGUCCACUGGUGGGGUCAGUAGGGUACUCCUGUAGGGCCAGUAGGACUUGUCUGUGAGGUCAGCCUGUAGGGUCCACUCAUCUUAUGGGACCUACUCAUUGUUAUUCGGAGAUUUUGAAUUUUGUGGCAACAAUGACAAUAACAAAGACUGUCGUCGAGAAAUUCGACAGGAAUGCCAACUUCGGGAUGUGGCAGCUCAAGAUGGAGACCAUUUUGGUUCAAGACAGAGUUCAUCUAGUGAUACACGGAAUCGAGAAAAAGUCAGAGCAUGUGACAGAUGCAAAAUUUGUUGAGAUGGAUAAGAAGGCAAGGUCUAGUAUUAUCUUAAAUCUCUCUGACAAGAUUUUACGGGAGAUAGCCACUGAGACUUCAGCAAAGGCCAUAUGGGACAAGAUUAAAGUCUUGUAUGUGAAAAAGACAGUUGAGAAUCGGCUUUAUUUAAAGCAAAAUCUAUAUAUGCUUCGCAUGACUGAAGGUACAUCUAUACUCUCACAUCUUGAUAAAUUUGAUUCCAUUAUUAUGAAUUUGGAGAAUAUAGAUUCGAAUAUUGAUAAUGAGGAUCAGGCUCUGUUACUUUUGUGUUCCCUUCCCCAAUCAUUUAAACAUUUUCGCGAUACUAUGAUUUAUGGAAAAAAAAUAAUUUCGUAUCGAAAAAUUAAAUUUGCAUUAAAAUCUAAGGAGCAGAUAGAUAGGGAUAUUACUGGAAAAUUUAGUGCAGGUCAGGCAGAAGGUCUGGUUGUUAGGAAAUGAGAGAAGAGAAUUUGACAAAAAUAGAUCUAAAUCCAGACAUAGAAAUGUGGAGUGCAAUUAUUGUCAUAAAAUGGGGCAUAUUAAGGCAGAUUGUUUCAAAUUGAAAAAUAAAUUGAAACAAAAGGGGAAACCUGGUGAGCAAAAUAUUGAGAUUGCCGAAACUAGUGUUGCAGCUGAUGAGAAUGAAGGAAAUAUUUUCUUUGUGACUGAUGACAGGACAAGGUCUAAAAAUGAAUGGAUUUUAGAUUCGAGGUGUUCUUAUCACAUGUGUCCCAAUAGGGAUUUAUUUUCCACUUAUGAAUCUUAUAAUGGUGGAAUUAUUUUGAUGAGCAAUAAUGCCGCUUGCAAUGUUGUUGGUAAGGGUACAAUCCGAAUUAAAAUGCAUGAUGGUAUUGUGAGGAAGCUCAUUAAUGUUAGACAUGUUCCUGAUUUGAAAAAGAAUUUCAUCUCUUUGGGCACCCUAGAGGCUCUUGGUGCAAAUACACAGUUGAAAAUGGCAUUAUAAAGGUUUCUAAAGGUGCUCUCGUUGUAAUGAAAGCUUGCAGGGUUGGUAGUUUAUAUGUUUUGCAGGGAGCUACUGUCACAGGCUACGUUGCAGUUUCGUCAUCAUCAUCUUUGUCUGAUUCUGACAUUACCAAAUUGUGGCAUAUGCGUUUGGGAUAUAUGAGCGAGAAAGGCUUGGGCAUUCUAAGCAAAAGGGGACUUCUUUGUGGUCAGAGUACUAGAUCAUUGGAAUUCUGUGAACACUGUAUCUUUGGGAAGCAAAAAAGAGUUAGCUUCCGUUCUCCAACAAUCCAUUAGACGAAAGGUACUCUUGAUUAUAUUCAUUCAAAUUUAUGGGGUCUAUCUCGUGUACUGUCUAAGGGUAGUGCCAGGUAUAUGUUGAAUUUCAUUGAUGAUUAUUCAAGAAAAGUUUGGGUUUAUUUUCUUAAACAUAAGAAUGAUGUUUACCUCACUUUCAAGCAAUGAAAAGUUUUGAUUGAGAAACAAACAGGUAAAUAGAUCAAGCGGCUUAGAACAGAUAAUGGCAUGAAAUUUUGUAAAAGAGAAUUUGAUGAAUUUUGUAAGAAUGAAGAAAUUGUUAGGUAUCACACUGUCAGGAUGACGCCUCAACAAAAUGAUGUAGCCGAACGUAUGAACAGAACACUUUUGGAGAGAGCGAGGUGCAUGAUCUCUAACGCAGGGUUGGCAAAGGAUUUUUGGGUUGGAGCAAUUUCUAUGGCCUCUUAGAUUGUCAACCGUGCUCCUUCUACUGCUCUAAAAUUCAAAACUCCUGAGGAAGUUUGGUCAGGUACUCCUGCUGAUUAUUCUGAUUUUAAAAUUUUUGGGUGUACAGCAUACAUGCAUGUAAAUGAUGGAAAAUUAGAAUCUUGAGCUAAAAAGUGUAUUUUUCUUGGGUUUGCUUUUGAGGUGAAAGGAUACAGAUUAUGGUGUCCUGAUCCCAAAUUUCCAAAAUUUAUAAUCAGUAGAGAUGUUACUUUUGAUAAAUUCUCUAUGUUAUCUUCCAAGAAGGAGUCGUCUAGUUCUUGUCAAACAGAUAAUAGUAUGCAGAAGCAGGUGGAGCUUGAGAUUGGUAGUUCUGGUUCUUCUAUUCAACAAGUACCAGUAGAUGCAUCUGAAUCCACUGAUGAAAAUAAUUCAGAAGAGAAAAAAUAUUCUAUUACCAGAGAUAGACCAAGGAGGGAUAUUCGACAACCACAAACAUAUACAAAUUUGGUUGCAUAUGCUUUGUCUGUCGCAGAAGAAACUGAUGUAGUUGAUGAGCCUACUACCUAUUCAGAUGCGAUUUCUUGUGAUGAUUCUGCUAAGUGGUUGGUUGCGAUGAAUGAAGAAAUUGAGUCUCUCCAUUGAAAUGCUACUUGAGUUCUUGUGAAGCCGCCUCCAGAUAAGAAAAUUAUUGGAUGCAAAUGGAUUUUCAAGAAAAAGUUAGGUAUUCCAGGGGUUGAAGAUGCAAGGUAUAAAGCACGAUUGGUUGCAAAGAAUAUAGUCAGGUACAAGGUGUUGAUUUUAAUGAAGUAUUUUCACCAGUUGUUAAACAUAGCUCUAUUCGUGUUUUGUUUGCUUUAGUUGCCAUGAAUAAUUUGGAGUUGGAGCAGCUUGAUGUUAAGACAGCUUUCUUACAUGGUGAACUUGAAAAAAAAAAUUAUAUGAAACAACCUCAGGGAUUUGAAGUUGAAGGAAAGGAAGACCAUGUUUGUUUGCUAAAGAAAUCCUUAUAUGGAUUGAAAUAGUCUCCAAGACAAUGGUAUAAGAGAUUUGAUACUUUUAUGUUGAGUCAUGGUUAUUCAAGGAGCAUGUAUGAUCGUUGCGUUUACUUCCAGAAGUUAGAUGAUGGUUCCUUCAUUUAUUUGUUGCUUUAUGUUGAUGACAUGCUCAUUGCUGCCAAGAAUUUGUCAAAAAUUCACACUUUGAAGUUGCAGUUAAGUAGUAAAUUUGAAAUGAAACAUUUGGGAGCAACUAAGAAAAUUCUUGGCAUGGAGAUCAAAGGGACCAAGGAGCUAGAAAAUUAUUCUUGACUCAAGAAAAUUAUCUUGAGAAGGUCUUGGAGAAGUUUGGCAUGAAAGAUGCUAAACCUGCGACUACUCCUCUUGCUAGUCAUUUUUGACUAUCUGCUACUCAGUCACCAUAGUCAGUUGAAGAGAAAGAGUAUAUGGUACGAGCUCCUUAUUCCAAUGUAGUCGGCAGCAUUAUGUAUGCAAUGGUUUGCACUCGUCCAGAUAUUGCACAAGCAGUCAGUGUGGUUAGCAGAUAUAUGUCUUGUCCUGAAAAAGCACAUUGGCAGGCUGUGAAGUGGAUUCUCAAAUAUUUGUGAGGGACUUCAAACUGUUGUUUGGAGUUUGGGAGAAAUAAUGACACUUUGGUUGGUUUUGUAGAUUCUGACUAUGUCGAGGAUCUUGACAGGAGAAGAUCACUCUCAGGUUAUGUAUUUUGCAUUGGCGGUUGUGCAAUUAGUUAGAAAGCUACUUUACAACCUGUUGUAGCUUUAUCUACUACAGAGGCAGAAUAUAUGGUCAUGACCGAGGCAAUCCAAGAAGUCUUGUGGUUGAAGAGUCUGUUUGGUGAACUUAGUCUACAUCAAGGUGUUACUACUAUUUACUGUGAUAGUCAAAGUGCCAUUCAUUUGACUAAAGACCAGAUGUAUCAUGAGAGAACGAAACACAUUGACGUGAAAUUUCAUUUCAUUCGAGAUACUAUUGCUGAGGGAAAAGUCCUUAUUCAGAAAAUCAGUACCAAGGAGAAUCGUGCUGACAUGUUCACGAAACCUUUUCCAGUUUACAAGUUCAAACAAUGCUUGAAUUGGGUUGGUAUUCGUUGUUAGUGAUUUAGACCCAUUGAGACUUAUGUGGAGAAGGUGGAGCAGUUUUUUGCUAUUGUCGAUGUUGGGGAUACGCCAAGGUGGAGAUUUGUUAGUGUGGCUUUAGUCCCAUAUCGCUAAUAGCAAAGGAAAGAAUUUCCUUUGUUACCUAUAAAUAUAGGGGGCAUGUGUUGGAAUUAAGAUCACAAAUCAAGAGAGCAUUAGUGGGUUAUUCGGGCCUUUGGGUCAUUAAGUCUUUUGUUCAGUUAAAUAUUUUGGGCUCUCUUGUAUUUUAGUAUUAGGUGUUUUGGGCCUAAAAACACUUUCCUAAGGCACUUUUGUACUCUCUUCUUUAUAGUAAAAUAUUGCUCCUGCUCCGCCUGUGGACGUAGGUCAAUUUGACCGAACCACAUAAAUUCCUGUGUUCUUGUUUUAUUUAUUUCUGCUUUGUUAUUUGUCUUUUGGGGUUGUCAAAAAUCCUUUCGUCAAUUUCCUAGGGCCAGUCCUAACAAUUUUCAACCUAAAAUACAUCUUCAAAGUUCAAGUUGUCUAGCGUUAAAAUUUUUCAGAUUUUGAGUCAAGUCUCAUUGAGUCACAUUCGAGCUAUUUUCUUGAAGCUCUACCCAUUGCCACUUGUUAAUUGAAUUAUUGAACCAUUUUGAUCAAUUGCGAGUAAUUCAUAUUGUCUUAAGGAUUGUGAGCAAGGACUUGAAAGAGUGGUAAAAUUAUUAGAGUGUGUAAAUUUGAGUGAUACACGAGUGACGGGCACAUACACUUGAGCUUGUAUUUGUGAGGAAUUUCUUUUCUUUGCUAACUAAUUUUGCAGGUCACUUAACCAUGCCAAAUAGAGCUGUAUCUCGUUCACACCAUCAAGAAUUCUUGGAGUAAGAACCUUCCAAGAGAAGGGGUUUUGAUCACUCUAGCUCCAAAACUUCUUCGAGAUUGUUGCAUUCACAACAUGAGUUUCGUACACUUCGAGAGGAAAUGGAUCAUUUCCGUGCUUUGUGUGUAUAUGAAAUAUAUAAGCGUACUUGUCAUCAAUAUGAGGAGGAGCAAAAAAGUUUGCAUCAAACAUCUAAGUCAAGGACAUCCUCAAGCAAAUGAGAUUCAUCUAAGGAAUGUCGUGACAAUCGAGCCAUGGAGCCGAAAAAGUCUCGAAUUGAGUCAAAGCCGCAUGAACUAAACGAUGACUUCCGGAGUUCGACUAAAGACUUGGUUGAUUCUAUGAUGGGAGAAAUUUGCCAAGUACUGAAUUCAUACUUCAAGCAACUUAAUCACGUGACAACCAAUGGUAAUAAAGGAGAUGUUCCUUCUAGUCCGCCAUUGAUUGAAGAAAAAAAUGAAGAGUCAAGUAAGAUGAGUGAGCAAUGUGCCGAAAAGAAUAGAGUGGAAAAAGGCAAAAAUAAUUUGGCUUUAGUGCAAAAUAACAAGGAAAAAUUGAGCAUGUUUGCAAAAGUCGAGAGUGUGAGAGUUUUAUUUUCUAACAAUCUAACGUGUUUUGUUUAGUAUUUCUUCCUUUGUGCAGAUCAAGCUGACGGGUUUUAGAUAUUAGUACAAGUUUAAUUCCAAAAUAUACCCACUUUGCUGCAAGUAUAUAGAUCAACUAGUAGUUUAGGGUAUAAAUGAUAAGGAUACGGCGCACAACAACUCCAACCUUGGGUCAAGGACCCUUUGAUCAACAUUGGUGGUCCGAUGACAAGAUCAAGAACCAAGAAGGUGAAGGAAGCUUUACGAGCCUUGAUCAUUCACCGUACAAGCAAGGAGCAAGCUAGGUUUGAUGAUUCGAUGGACCAUGAAGUUACUUUGUUCACUUGUACGUUUGAAGCGAAGGAAUGAUCUCAUACUUGACUGUCUAGUUUAGUAGUUGUUAGGCGUUUAGUAUUUUAUUGGGCCUUAUCGGAAAGCCUUAAAGAGCUGGCUCUUUAAGCUCUUUAUGCGGACCGAAUUUCUUCCAGGUUUAUGUGGGCCGGAUUUUGCCCUAGUUUUAGCCUAUAAAAAGGCAUCUCUUGUAAGAUUAAAGGACAGAGAUUAUUACAACCAGAAAUCGUGAGGAAUUUUCUUUCAAGUUCUUAAUCGAACUUACUCUUGAAUUCUUGAGUUAUGGCUUAGGAUUCAAAUCAGACUUUAUCGAUUAGCUUGUUCCCUAAUCGUGGUGUCGUUUCAUCCAUCCUUAUUUGCUUAAGGUUGCUGAUUACCUUUGUGUGUCAGAGGCCUUGAGUUCAUGAGAACAAUCGAGUUCAAUUUCUGUUGGGAGAAAAGAUCCAACUCUGAUAAUUACAAGGUUGGGAGGUUCUAGGAGGGUCUUCCCCUAGGGUUGCCUAUAUCAGUUGGUAAUCAGAGCAUCAGGUUAAUUCUCUUUUAAUUGAAGUUGUUCAUAUCUUGUUAGUUUGUGUCUUUUGUCAAAAAAAAAAAACAAAUUGUAGCGAUUACUGUUCAUCGUACUGUAGCGUACUGUUCACGUUACUGUUCAUCCGAGUCAAAAAAAAAAUCUGUUUGGUGUUGUCUUUUUGUGUUUUCUGUCCAACUUUUGUUCUUGAGUCUGUUAUACUUUUGUUUGGGUUGUUAGGGUUUAAAGACAAACAAAAAAAAGAGUCACGUACCUUAUUGGUGUGAUCCGAUUUCUGGGUGGUUCCCCUAGGGUUGUCCAAGUUCUUGGGUUUGUUAUACUUGUGUUUGGGUUGUUAGGGUUUAAAGACAAAAAAAAAAAUAAAAGAGUCACGUACCUUAUAUUGUUUAGUGAUCAAGUUGCUAGAGUAUUGCUGGAAUUUUCUUUUGAAUAUUGCUGAAAUUCUGUUUUGCCUAUUUCUUGAGAAUUGGUUGUUUCUGCAAACUCUAGACACCGCAACAUAAUUUGGGAAAUUUCUUGUGUUUCUUGAACAAAUUCUUGAAGUUCUUGGACCACCAAGUCUUGAUUUGAAAAUUCUUGAACAAUAAACCAAGAACUAGGGUUUUCUUGGAAUUGGCAUAACCUUUCAUCCGUUUUCUUGAACUUGUUGGUGUGAUCUGAAUUUGUGGAACUUGAAGAGCUGAGAAAAAAAAGAAAAAAAAAAGAAAAAAAAACGAAAGAGAAAAAAAAAGGAAGAAGAGAAGGAAUUGGCUCUCAUACAAAGGAAAUCAAGUUUCCAAAAAAAAUCGUGAGUCUCCAAUUCUUGGUGGGUUUCCAAAUCUUGAUUAAUCUCCAAAUCUUGGUUGAUUUCCCAAAACUUGAGUUUCCUAAUCUUGAUUGGUUUCCAACUCUUGAGUUCCAAUCUUGAUUGAAUUCCAAAGACCCCAAACGACCUAACCAGCCCCAAACACACCCAAUUCCGUUUUCAAAACCAAACCAAACACCUUAGCCCAAAUCACCUUGGGAGUUCUUGAGUUUCUAAAAUCGGUUGAGCUAGUUUUGCGAUCCGAUUUGACUGAAAUUUGAGGACUGGUUCGUACAUUAUUUGAGCACCCCAAAAGCACCAUUUAUACUCCAAAAUACUGACCAGAAAUUCAGCAAAGCAACAGCUCAAAGAAAAAAAAAAAAAGAGUUUCAGCUUCGGGUAGAGUUUUUCUAAGAUUUGCAAAAUUCUGCUUGGUGUCUUGUUACUUGCUUAUAGAGUCAUUAAUUCUGGAAUUUUUGAGAGUUUGAGUUGUUUUAAGAACUUCGAGAAGGAAAAUUGAGAGUGAGUGUGUUUCCUUGAGUGAUACACGAGUGCUUGCAAGGUAGACUAGGAUACAUUUGUUUUGCAGGUUGGACAAUAUGUCUCAAGAGGGGAACAUGCCUGAGCCGUCUGAGACCGACGUGUCACUCAAACUGGUGCUCCAAACUCUUCAAAAACAAGCGGAGAGACAUGAAUUUACGAUGGCACAAAUAUCCGACAGGUUGGCUGCCAUUGAGAUGCGAGGUACUGGAGAUAUUCCCAAUAGGGCUUCAAGUGCUCAGAGUGUUGAUCAUGAUGCGGAUGAUGAGGGAUAUCAUUCUAACAUCUCCUUUCGAUCAAGAAAAAGCCAGAGGGAAGCGAGGGAAGGUCGAGACCGACCUAGGAGAACCGAUGACAAUCUUGGUUCCAUCAAGACCAAGAUGCCUACCUUUCAUGGGAAAAAUGAUCCUGAAUCUUACUUGGAUUGGGUUAGACGAGUUGAGCAAGUGUUUGAAUUCCACAACUACUCUGAAGAGAAAAAGGUGAAACUUGCAGCUAUUGAAUUUCAAGAGUAUGCAUUUAUUUGGUGGGAGCAAGUAUGUGCCACAAGGAGGAGAAAUAGGGAACAACCGAUUGACACUUGGACUGAAAUGAAGCAAGUGAUGAGAAAACGAUUUGUACCCUCCCAUUAUACUACGGACUUGUACGAUCGGCUCCAACGAGAGAACGAAUCUCUCAAGAGGAGAGGUUCCAUGCAAUCUACCUCUUUAAAGCCGGUUUAUACAAGAGAUGACAAGAAGGUUCAUUCAACAUUUUCUAGGACUAAACCUAGAGUUGAACCACCUCAUGCGGAGUCAUUUUGGGAGACAUAUCAACGUCUUCUACACCAAAAACAAAUGGAGUCAAAUGGAUGCUAUCAAAGUGAGUUUUCUAAGAAGGAGGUAGCUGACCCUAUUCCCAACAAAGGAGUACCUCAUCCUAUUGAACCAUUUGUUGAGGAGGUUGAUAAUGAGAAAACAAUUGAGAGCGUUAAGCUAGAUAACGAGAUGGAAAAAUCUGAUGAGAUGAGUGGUAAAAAGGAAGAAAAGAGAGAAAGUGAGACGAUUUUGAGCAAAAAUGUGAGGGCUUAUUGUUUUUCUAACGAACUUACCUUUGCUUUAUUUAGUGUUUCUUCAUUUGUGCAGGUUAAGCAAAGUCAAGUGAAGUUAGUCAUGCCAUGCUCCAUUCCAAAGUCACUUGUACAAUUCACUAGUUUCCAUGGAGUUUGUCUUUUAGGAAUUGAAUCUAUCUGGAAUCAUCUCAUGGAACAAUUUCAAUUCAAAUCUGUCCAUACCAAAGGGGAAUCACGUCAAAUCCACCAUGAAGGGAGAAUUCCGAAAUUUGACUCUCAUUUGCUACCUAUGGGUCAUUCAUCAUCUUUACCUUCUUUUGAGUAUAAUCUCCAUCCUAACACUUGUAUUUCUUAUCCAGAUUUUGAAGAAAAGUGUAAAAGGCUAGCAAUGCCUUCUCAAGUUGAAUCAAUUGGUGGAAGGAAUAAUAAAGUGGCAAAGGGAGUAUUCACAUUUAAAACUUAUUCUAUACCUUCUUACCAUUUAGUUGAUGAUGUACCAUUACUUCUUUACCCAAUUUUUAAUUUGUUUCAAGUUGAAGGUUAUUUUGUUUUUGUAGGUUGUAAAGCUGUCCAAAAUUUUUCAGUUUUGAUUAAAGACUUACAACCUGAUUUCGUGCUUAUUCCACCUAAAGGUGGUGAUCUUUCAUGCUUAGUCACACAACUAAAAGCUGGUGGCCAAGUGCUCAAUUUGUCAACUUCAACUUGUGCUAGUUCGAGUAACCCUCAUGAAGUGGAAUUCAAUUGUUUGCUACCUUAUAUGUUGGAAGAAGAGAAAUUGCGUGUCACGCAAGAUCCCAAAGCCAUCCUCCACGAGUUGUUUAGUGCUUCAUCCAUGCAACAACAUGCUCACAAUUUAUCCAUGCAAGAUGAUUCAAAUCAAUGUUAGGCAACCCUAGGGGAAGACCCUCCUAGAACCUCCCAACCUUGUAAUUAUCAGAGUUGGAUCUUUUCUCCCAACAGAAAUUGAACUCGAUUGUUCUCAUGAACUCAAGACCUCUGACACACAAAGGUAAUCAGCAACCUUAAGCAAAUAAAGAUGGAUGAAGCGACACCACGAUUAGGGAACAAGCUAAUCGAUAAAGUCUGAUUUGAAUCCUAAGCCAUGAACUCAAGAAUUCAAGAGUAAGUUCGAUUAAGAACUUGAAGGAAAAUUCCUCACGAUUUCUGGUUAUAAUAAUCUCCGUCUUUUACUCUUACAAGAGGUGCCUUUUAUAGGCUAAAACUAGGGCAAAAUCCGGCCCACAUAAACCUGGAAAAGAUUCGGUCCGCAUAAAAGAGCUUAAAGAGCCAGCUCUUUAAGGCUUUCCGAUAAGGCCCAAUAAGUAAUAAAAUACUAAACGCCUAACAACUACUAAACUAGACAGUCUUAAAACAACUACCAACUAAGCUAACAAGUAUGAGAUCAUUCCUUCACUUCAAACGUACAAGUGAACAAAGUAACUUCAUGGUCCAUCAAAUCUUCAAACCUAACUUGUUCCUUGCUUGUAUGGUGAAUGAUCAAGGCUCGUAAAGCUUCCUUCACCCUCUUGGAUCUUGAUCUUGUCAUUGGACCGCCAAUGUGGACCAAAGGAUCCUUGACCCAAGGUUGAAGUUAAUUAUUGCACACCCGUAUCCGCAUCAUUCCCUCUUUCCUCGAAAAGAUUCGUCCUCGAAUCUUCAAAGUCUCCUCUUGAAAGUGAGUUGUCCACAAAUCGAUGCUGCGCUUAAAGGACAGCAAUGUUGGAAGUAGACGAAUGACUACAAGCCAUGUUGCAUGUCGUUUGGUCAGCUUCGGGAAGCUCUCAAACAAGAACAUGCGCCAAGGUAGGAAAGAACUUGUGUAAGGCAUGUGAAAAUCCCAAGUGGCAAUGAAAAACUCUCUAAUUAGUCUUUGGUCAUAGAUCUUCACAUUGACACCUUGAUUGUGCAAAGGUGUAAAAUCCAGCACUAGUUGACAUUGAUUUGAAUCAUCUUGCAUGGAUAAAUUGUGAGCAUGUUGUUGCAUGGAUGAAGCACUAAACAACUCGUGGAGGACGGCUUUGGGAUAUUGCGUGACACGCAAUUUCUCUUCUUCCAACAUAUAAGGUAGCAAACAAUUGAAUUCCACUUCAUGAGGGUUACUCGAACUAGCACAAGUUGAAGUUGACAAAUUGAGCACUUGGCCACCAGCUUUUAGUUGUGUGACUAAGCAUGAAAGAUCACCACCUUUAGUUGGAAUAAGCACGAAAUCAGGUUGUAAGUCUUUAAUCAAAACUGAAAAAUUUUGGACAGCUUUACAACCUACAAAAACAAAAUAACCUUCAACUUGAAACAAAUUAGAAAUUGGGUAAAGAAGUAAUGGUACAUCAUCAACUAAAUGGUAAGAAGGUAUAGAACAAGUUUUAAAUGUGAAUACUCCCUUUGCCACUUCAUUAUUCCUUCCACCAAUUGAUUCAACUUGAGAAGGCAUUGCUAGCCUUUUACACUUUUCUUCAAAAUCUGGAUAAGAAAUACAAGUGUUAGGAUGGAGAUUAUACUCAAAAGAAGGUAAAGAUGAUGAAUGACCCAUAGGUAGCAAAUGAGAGUCAAAUUUCGGAAUUCUCCCUUCAUGGUGGAUUUGACGUGAUUCCCCUUUGGUAUGGACAGAUUUGAAUUGAAAUUGUUCCAUGAGAUGAUUCCAGAUAGAUUCAAUUCCUAAAAGACAAACUCCAUGGAAACUAGUGAAUUGUACAAGUGACUUUGGAAUGGAGCAUGGCAUGACUAACUUCACUUGACUUUGCUUAAUCUGCACAAAUGAAGAAACACUAAAUAAAGCAAAGGUAAGUUCGUUAGAAAAACAAUAAGCCCUCACAUUUUUGCUCAAAAUCGUCUCACUUUCUCUCUUUUCUUCCUUUUUACCACUCAUCUCAUCAGAUUUUUCCAUCUCUUUAUCUAGUUUAACGCCCUCGAUUGUUUUCUCAUCAUCAACCUCCUCAACAAAUGGUUCAAUAGGAUGAGGUACUCCUUUGUUGGGAAUAGGGUCAGCUACCUCCUUCUUAGAAAACUCACUUUGAUAGCAUCCAUUUGACUCCAUUUGUUUUUGGUGUAGAAGACUAGGGGUGGCAAUUCCUGACACGACCUGAAAACACGACACGAACCUAACACGAAAUUAAUGGGUUUGGGUUGAGGUUUCGGGAGUUCGGGUCAGAAUCGGGUCGAACCCGAUGAACCCGAAAAGAAAACAGGUCAAUUUCGGGUCAACCCGUGGUGACCUGAUAUGACCCGAUGUGACCCGUUUACGAAUUAAAACUAAUUUAAUAAACAUAAAAAUUAUUUUAUCUAACUAAACUAAAUCAUUCUUUUCCCAAAGGCAUUAAUUACUUAAUCCUAAAUGAAUUUAUUUAACUUGUAUGAAGUUAAAAUUAUUAUAUUUGGACAAAUAACAUAUUAUGUUAUUUUUUACUUUUAUGCUGUUUUAAUUUAUUUUAUAUUUGGUUUGGGAUAAAACACUUUUAUGGUGUUUAAUUUAUUUUAGAUUUGGUUUGAAAUUAUUUAUUUAAAUUUUUAUUACUUGAUGAUGUAAUUAAUUUUGUGAAAAAUUGAUUUUAUUAGAAAUUACAGUGAUAAAUUAAUAAAUUAAAAUUAAGUUUCGGGUCAUUUCGGGUCGACCCGCCAACCCGAAAUUUUCGGGUUCGUGUCAGGUACCUUGACCCGUUUCGGGUUGGCGGGUCGGGUUCGAGUCAGCAGGUUCUUUGUUAUACUUAGGCCUCAACCCGACCCGCCAACCCGAACCCGACCCGAUUGCCACCCCUAUAGAAGACGUUGAUAUGUCUCCCAAAAUGACUCCGCAUGAGGUGGUUCAACUCUAGGUUUAGUCCUAGAAAAUGUUGAAUGAACCUUCUUGUCAUCUCUUGUAUAAACCGGCUUUAAAGAGGUAGAUUGCAUGGAACCUCUCCUCUUGAGAGAUUCGUUCUCUCGUUGGAGCCGAUCGUACAAGUCCGUAGUAUAAUGGGAGGGUACAAAUCGUUUUCUCAUCACUUGCUUCAUUUCAGUCCAAGUGUCAAUCGGUUGUUCCCUAUUUCUCCUCCUUGUGGCACAUACUUGCUCCCACCAAAUAAAUGCGUAAUCUUGAAAUUCAAUAGCUGCAAGUUUCACCUUUUUCUCUUCAGAGUAGUUGUGGACUUCAAACACUUGCUCAACUCGUCUAACCCAAUCCAAGUAAGAUUCAGGAUCAUUUUUCCCAUGAAAGGUAGGCAUCUUGGUUUUGAUGGAACCAAGAUUGUCAUCGGUUCUCCUAGGUCGGUCUCGACCUUCCCUCGCUUCCCUCUGGCUUUUUCUUGAUCGAAAGGAGAUGUUAGAAUGAUAUCCCUCAUCAUCUGCAUCAUGAUCAGCACUCUGAACACUCGAAACCCUAUUGUGUGUAUCUCCGGUACCUCGCAUCGCAAUGGCAGCCACCCUGUCGGAUAGUUGUUGGAGAGUUUGGAGCACCAAUUUGAGUGACACGUCGGUCUCAGACGGCUCGGCCAUGUUCCCCUCUUAAGACAUAUUGUCAAACCUGCAAAAUAAAUGUAUCCUAGUCUACCUUGCAAAACACUCGUGUAUCACUCAAGAAAACACACUCACUCUCAAUUUUCCUUCUCGAAGUUCUUAAAACAACUCAACUCUCAAAAAUUCCAGAAUUAAUUACCCUAUAAGCAACUAACAAGACACAAAGCAGAAUUUUACAAAUCUUAGAAAACUCUACCGAAGCUGGAACUUUUUAAUUUUUUUUUUUGAGCUGUUGCUUUGCUGAGUUUCUGGUCAGUAUUUUGGAAGGUAAAUGGUGUUUUGGAGUGCUCAAACAAUCUAUGAAUCAGUCCUCAAAUUUCAGUCAAAUCGAUUGCAAAACUAGCUCAACGAUUUUAGAAACUCAAGAACUCCCAAGGCGGUUUGGGCUAAGGUGUUUGGUUUGGUUUUGAAAACGGAAUUGGGUGUGUUUGGGGCUGGUUAGGUUGUUUAGGGUCUUUGGAAUUCAAUUAAGAUUGGAACUCAAGAGUUGGAAACCAAUCAAAAUUAGGAAACUCAAGUUUUGGGAAAUCAACCAAGAUUUGGAGACUAAUCAAGAUUUGGGAACCCACCAAGAAUUGGAAACUAACGAUUUUUUUUGGAAACUUGAUUUCCUUUGUAUGAGAGCCAAUUCCUUCUCUUCUUCCCUUUUUUUUUUCUUUCGUUUUUUUUUCUUUUUUUUUCGGCUCUUCAAGGAACACAAAUUCAGAUCACACCAACAAGUUCAAGAAAACGGAUGAAAGGUUAUGCCAAUUCCAAGAAAACCCUAGUUCUUGGUUUAUUGUUCAAGAAAUUUCAAAACAAGACUUGGUGGUCCAAGAACUUCAAGAAUUUGUUCAAGAAACACAAGAAUUUCCCCAAAUUAUGUUGCGGUGUCUAGGGUUUGCAAAAACAACAACCAAUUCUCAAGAAAUAGGCAAAACAGAAUUUCAGCAAUACUCAAAAGACAAUUCCAGCAAUACUCUAGCAAUUUGAACACUAAACAAUAUAAGGUACGUGACUCUUUUUUUUUUUUGUCUUUAAACCCUAACAACCCAAACACAAGUAUAACAAACCCAAGAACUUGGACAGAAAACACAAAAAGACAACACCCAAACAGUUUUUUUUUUGUUUUUUUGACUCAGAUGAACAGUAACGUGAACAGUACGCUACAGUACGAUGAACAGUAAUCGCUACAGUUUUUUUGUUUUUUUGACAAAAGACACAACUAACAAGAUAUGAACAACUUCAAUUAAAAGAGAAUUAACCUGAUGCUCUGAUUACCAACUGAUAUAGGCAACCCUAGGGGAAGACCCUCCUAGAACCUCCCAACCUUGUAAUUAUCAGAGUUGGAUCUUUUCUCCCAACAGAAAUUGAACUCGAUUGUUCUCAUGAACUCAAGACCUCUGACACACAAAGGUAAUCAGCAACCUUAAGCAAAUAAAGAUGGAUGAAGCGACACCACGAUUAGGGAACAAGCUAAUCGAUAAAGUCUGAUUUGAAUCCUAAGCCAUGAACUCAAGAAUUCAAGAGUAAGUUCGAUUAAGAACUUGAAGGAAAAUUCCUCACGAUUUCUGGUUAUAAUAAUCUCCGUCUUUUACUCUUACAAGAGGUGCCUUUUAUAGGCUAAAACUAGGGCAAAAUCCGGCCCACAUAAACCUGGAAAAGAUUCGGUCCGCAUAAAAGAGCUUAAAGAGCCAGCUCUUUAAGGCUUUCCGAUAAGGCCCAAUAAGUAAUAAAAUACUAAACGCCUAACAACUACUAAACUAGACAGUCUUAAAACAACUACCAACUAAGCUAACAAGUAUGAGAUCAUUCCUUCACUUCAAACGUACAAGUGAACAAAGUAACUUCAUGGUCCAUCAAAUCUUCAAACCUAACUUGUUCCUUGCUUGUAUGGUGAAUGAUCAAGGCUCGUAAAGCUUCCUUCACCCUCUUGGAUCUUGAUCUUGUCAUUGGACCGCCAAUGUGGACCAAAGGAUCCUUGACCCAAGGUUGAAGUUAAUUAUUGCACACCCGUAUCCGCAUCAUUAUGGAUGCAUAUUCUUCAAAUUCAAUAGCCGCAAGUUUCACCUUUUUCUCUUCAGAGUAACUGUGGACUUCAAACACUUGCUCAACUCGCCUAACCCAAUCCAAGUAAGCUUCUGGAUCAUUUUUUCCAUGAAAGGUAGGCAUCUUGGUCUUGAUGGAACCAAGAUUGUCAUCGGUUCUCCUAGGUCGGUCUCGGCCUUCCCUCGCUUCCCUGUGGCUUUUCCUUGAUCGGAAUGAGGUGUUAGAAUGAUACCCCUCAUCAUCCGCAUCAUGCUCAACACUCUGAGCACUUGAAGCCCUAUUGGGAAUAUCUCCAGUACCUCGCAUCUCAAUGGCAGCCAACCUGUCGGAUAUUUGUGCCAUCGUAAAUUCAUGUCUCUCCGCUUGUUUUUGAAGAGUUUGGAGCACCAGUUUGAGUGACACGUCGGUCUCAGACGGCUCAGGCAUGUUCCCCUCUUGAGACAUAUUGUCCAACCUGCAAAACAAAUGUAUCCUAGUCUACCUUGCAAGCACUCGUGUAUCACUCAAGGAAACACACUCACUCUCAAUUUUCCUUCUCGAAGUUCUUAAAACAACUCAAACUCUCAAAAAUUCCAGAAUUAAUGACUCUAUAAGCAAGUAACAAGACACCAAGCAGAAUUUUGCAAAUCUUAGAAAAACUCUACCCGAAUUCGGAACAGUAACGAUGAACAGUAAUCGCUACAGUUUUUUUUUUUUUUUUUUGACAAAAGACACAAACUAACAAGAUAUGAACAACUUCAAUUAAAAGAGAAUUAACCUGAUGCUCUGAUUACCAACUGAUAUAGGCAACCAUAGGGGAAGACCCUCCUAGAACCUCCCAACCUUGUAAUUAUCAGAGUUGGAUCUUUUCUCCCAACAGAAAUUGAACUCGAUUGUUCUCAUGAACUCAAGACCUCUGACACACAAAGGUAAUCAGCAACCUUAAGCAAAUAAGGAUGGAUGAAGCGACACCACGAUUAGGGAACAAGCUAAUCGAUAAAGUCUGAUUUGAAUCCUAAGCCAUGAACUCAAGAAUUCAAGAGUAAGUUCGAUUAAGAACUUGAAGGAAAAUUUCUCACGAUUUCUGGUUGUAAUAUUCUCUGUCCUUUAAUCUUACAAGAGAUGCCUUUUUAUAGGCUAAAACUAGGGAAAAAUCCGGCCCACAUAAACCUGGAAGAAAUUCGGUCCGCACAAAGAGCUUAAAGAGCCAGCUCUUUAAGGCUUUCCGAUAAGGCCCAAUAAAAUACUAAACGCCUAACAACUACUAAACUAGACAGUCAAGUAUGAGAUCAUUCCUUCGCUUCAAACGUACAAGUGAACAAAGUAACUUCAUGGUCCAUCGAAUCAUCAAACCUAGCUUGCUCCUUGCUUGUACGGUGAAUGAUCAAGGCUCGUAAAGCUUCCUUCACCUUCUUGGUUCUUGAUCUUGUCAUCGGACCACCAAUGUUGAUCAAAGGGUCCUUGACCCAAGGUUGGAGUUGUUGUGCGCCCGUAUCCUUAUCAAUAAAUCUGGUCAAUCUCACAGGGAGCAAUUUCUGCAAGUACUACGUCCUUAACUUACUCUAUUAUUUAUACUAACUAUCAAUAUUAUCAAUGAAAAUAACAAUACUAACUAUCUAAAUUAACUAGAGAACUUGCAGGUAACCAUUGGAGAAUAUCACCAAACCUUGGAUCUAGGAAAACAGAGUCCACUUAUGGCAUAAAAGAUACAAAUAAAUAGAUUUAUCUCUUGUUACAACUCUUGUUUAACUAGAGAUGCAUUUUCAUAUUUACCAAAACUCAUUCUCAUGAUGUAAUGGCAUAGAAUAGCCUAGUUUUCCCUAUUCUCAUGGUGAAUAAUUAGACCUAUUCUUUGUUCUUCAUGAAAUGUAAAGAUAAUCCACUUAAGUGUACCUCAAUUCUCAUAAGUCUACUCCUUAAGCUCCAUUUAUGUUGUUUCAUUAUUAUUACCAAUUUUCAUUGAAUAAUAACAACUAAAAGCUUGUUAUUGGUGAUCGAGCAACAAUAAGUGAUAAGCAUACACAAAUGCACAAGUUAAUACAAGAUGUAAGAAGUGUAAAUCAUAUUCACUUUAUAUCAAGUAGGCAUAAGUUUCAUCUACUCCCUAGAUCUAGAAAUUUAGUUACUCAUAUGAUAUAUGACGAGAAAGAACAUAACUUCAUUGCAUGAACACAAAUUAAAUCACAAGUAAAGAGAUAGAUAAAGAAAGUUUAGCCAAAAUAUGAAGAAGUUCCCAAUGAUAUUCUAUUUCUUCAACAAAAUGAGUUGUACAAUGAAGUCUCCAAUUGUUCUCACAAUGUUCUAGCUAGAGAGAACAAGACAAGACUCUUCAAACGCUAAGGCUCCUCUUCUCCUAUUAUGACUAAAAGUCUCCUUUUUCUAAUGAUUCUUAUACCAAUAAUGUUAAAGGAGUCAAAAAAUUGUUAAUGAUAAGAUAUAAAGCUCCCUUUCUCUUUCCAAAAUGUCCCUUGAACAUGUGCAGCCAAAAUUCUUGUCUGAAAUAGAGCUGAGAAGUAGUGUGAAAAUAGAGCAAGUGGUAAAGCAAGUUGCAGAAUUCUAGCUACAAUACGCGACCUCAGCUAUGAUACGCGACCUUAGAAUACGCGACCUCACCCAAUUCAAUCUCUCUAUCUCACCCAAUUCCAAUUCUCACCAAGUUUUGCACAUUAAGUUCCUCAAAUAAAGUUCACAAAAUUGAGAGACUUACGGAGCAAGUUACGUCUUAAAUCAUCCUAAUUUAUACCAAAAAUGCACAUGAAAUGCUACUAAUAACUAUGUAUAAAAUGCACUUAUCACAAGCAAAGUCUAGUAGAGUUGAUCAUGACGUGUUCCAUUCCUAAGUCACUUGUACACUUUGCGAGCUUUCAAGGAGUUUGUCUUUUAGGAGUUAAAUCUCUUGGGCAUCAAUUUGUGAAACAAUUACAAUUCAAAUCUGUCCGCACCCAUAGAGGGUUAAUCCGAGCUCAUCUUGAAGAGAGAAUUCAUGAUUUUGAUUCUUGUUUCUUAACUUUGGAUCAUUCAUCGUUUUUACUAUGUUUUGAGAGUAAUUCCAGUCCUAAUUUUUGUCAUUUUCAUGUAGAUUUCGAAGGAGAAUGUGAUGAACCAUCAAUGACUAAUCUAGUUGAAUUGGGUGAUGGAAGGAAUAAUGAAGUGUCAAAGGGAGUUUUUGCAUUUAAAUCUUGUUCUAAACCUUCUUACCAUUUAGUUAAUGAUGUUCCAUUGCUUAUAUAUCCAAGUUUUGGUUCAAAUCAAGUUAAGGUUUAUUUUAUUUUUGUAGGUUGUAAGGCUAUCCGUGAACUUCCAGCUUUGAUCAAAGGAGUGCAACCUGAUUUUAUGCUUGUUCCAGUCGCAUAUGAGGAUAAAAACCAGCUGCAAUCCAUGGCUUUUUCAGUCCCAAUCAGCCUGUGGAUAUAAGUAUUCUUUCUUCACCCUUGACGUCUUCAUUGUUUGAUAAGAUAUUAAUGCUGAUUCUAUCAUGUUGCUACCAACAAAAAUUGAGUUUUAUGCGCCAAUUGAGUUCAUGAGCAUCAAGAGGUUGUCUAUGCACCAUGCUACUAGGAUUGUCAUCAUUCACGUGUUUCCAUCGUUGUUGCAAUUCAAGCGAUCUAACAAUUUGAGGGCAAAUCUUUUCAAGAGGAGGGGAAUGAUGCAAGUCCUAAGAGCUACCCAUGCCCUACUUUACAAUCAAACAAUGGUUCAUUGAGGUCCAAUGAAUAAGGUUAAAUUUAAGUCUCUUAUAUGUUUAUUCAAUCCAUGUUAGUAACUGUUUCGUUGUUUGGUUGGUUCGAACUAGCUCAUGUUGAGCACAAGCUCGAUUUGACUAAUAGUUAGUCAUGUAGUUAGUAGAUUAGUUAGCUAGUUUAGCUUAGGUCCGGCCAACUAUAGUGACCAACUAAAAUGAGUUAAGGCCGUGAGUUUCUUUUGUUUGGAAAGUUCUAAUUAGGUAAGGAGUUGAGCCUUGUAAACCUAUAAAAAGGCAACUCUUUCGAUUCAAUAGGAGGAGAAAUGAUUUUAUGAAAGAAACUUGAGAGUUCAUCUCUUUCUUGUUCCUCGUGAACGCCCUUGAUACAAAGUGAGUCGUGCCUCCUUUGUUCAAUUUUGGUUUAUCAAUUCAACACCGCGUUGAAUUGUGGUACUUUCUACCCUUCUAAUCAAUCUCGAGUUGUCCUUGAUUGGAUUAGAAUCCACCCAAUUUUGUUCAUAGCCUGAUCAAGAUAGAUCCUUCUGUUGCCCGAUCAACUUGGUUCUUCAAGAUAGGUUCUUGCUGGGUCGAGUUCGCAUCAGAUUUAAUAAAUAUUUUUUCUCAAAAAAAGUCGCCCACCAAGGAACAAACAUGCGAAGAGAAUACAAGAAAAAAGAAAAAAUUAAAAGAAUUCAAAAACAACAAAAAUUUGAAAUAAGUAGCAUUUUUUAAAUAUAUAUUCUGUAUUAAUUAAACUCUUUUUAAAAACAUAAAAUCAUGACCUCUACAAAUGAAUUUUAUAAACAAACUAUAAUCUCCCAUAUUUGUAAUACAACUUGUUCAAUGAAAAAAAAUGUAAAAAAUAUAUGUAUGUUGGGCGUCGGGUAUCUGUGAAUUUUUAAUUAUGUAAUUCUAACCUGCCCCGCAUCUAAAUGGGUACUCGACCCCUUUUUUGAUCCGAUCAAAUAAUACGGAUCGAGUAUUCUAAUUUUUGAAACCAAUUAUUUCUAGAGUAGUUAGCCACCAAGAGAGGUUUAAAACUUUACUUUGGUGUAGGUCAAGGGAUUAAAUUCCCUUGUGUGACGCCCCGAAAAAAAAAAUGAGUUUGAGAACCCGGAAAUUUUCUAAUUUUCUAGGGUUUAUUUUUUUUAAAAAAAAAAACCCGCCUUUUCUACAUUUUCUUGAUUAGAAAAAUUCCCCAGAUAAAGUUUAUGAGCAAAAAUAGUUUUAAAAUGAUUUUUCUAGUAUCGGUUAGUUUUUGAGAAAUUAAAAGCGUAUUUUGGAUGUGGGACCCACUAGGGCGAAAAGUUCAGAAAAAUUCAACCAAUUAGGUUAAGUUCCGGAUACUGGGUGAAAUUUAUCGGGUGUUAAGAGAUAAAUAGAGGAGGUGAAGUGAUUGAUGUGAGAGGGAAAAAGAAGGAUAGAAAUGCAUUUAAUGAAGUGACACGUGUCACUUUGUGAGUGGUUGAAGCCUAAGACAACUAUUCACCUUUUUGACCUUUCUUUACCAUUUGAUUAAAUAUCUCAAAAUUGACCAAAUAUUCACUCUUUCUUUCUCCAUGUUGGCCGGCCAUCUUGAGCUAAGAAGAAAGAAAAACUCUCCAAGAUUCUUGCUUCCAUCUUGCUUGAGUGUAAUCAUCCAACCAUUUGAUCUUGUUUCUACUCCAUAAAAUCUCUCCAUUUGGUACUAGAAAGUGAUUUGGUGAAGUGUUUAAGGAAGCUAAGGUGUUCCCUCUCUUGUUUACUAGGUGAGUGGUGAUUGAACUUCCUCCUACACUUAAUGAAGCUUAAGUUGUGCUUAAUGGUAGCUAAAGUGAUGAAUUUGUGGCUUAUUUCUUGGUUUGAGAUGAAUUGGUGAAGUUUUCAAUUUAUUGAUGAAUUUUCUGGUUUAAUGUGAUCAUGAUGUUGUGGUUAUUUAUGAUGGUUGGUAAUGAGGGGUAAUGACUCUAGUAGGUGUAAAUGAUUGGUAAUUGCAACCAAUUUUGGGUUUGGAAGGAAUUUGAGGAAGUUAGGGUUUCAUAACCCCCUUUUCUGUCCGAUUUUGUAUCAUAUGGUUAGAGGCCGAAUUGGCCUUUGCUUAAAACAUGAAAGUUGUAGGUAUUGAUGUUUUUGAGGUGCCUGUAAAAUUCAGGUCAUUUGGAGUAGUGUAGAAUGAGAUAUGUCGAAUUUACUAUUGCUGUUCUGGGUUUCAGGAUGGCCGAACUGCGCCUGUAAUCGGCUGUUUUGACUGGAAUUGUUUUGGAUUUGGGUGUUGAGAUCUUCUGAUGAAAUGUAGCUUGAUGUCCUAGCUAUCAUAUGCCUUUGGAAUUUCUGCAUUCGGACCUGUAUAGACUGAGUUGUACUGAUUACAGCAUAGUGUGAUUUGUAAACCUGCAAUUAAGGUUCUGGUUUGGUAUUUUGCAUAUUUGACCUAGUUGUUUUAGGAUUUGGACUGAGUGGCCUUCUACAUUGUUGUAGCCCUGUCUUUUAGCUUCGAAACGGUGGGUCUUGCACCUUCAUCCGACAAUCGUAACGCCUUUGAUACCAUUACCGCAAAAUGACGUCAAAACUAUUUUUCUGGUUUGAGCUAAACUUUCAUUUCCGGACUUUUCCCUAGCUUGACUUGUACUAGUACUACUUGGAGCUUGCUGAAUGGCUAUUGGAUGAACUUGUUGUUGUGUGUGUACCUUUGGGACUGGCUGAGGAUAAUGAAGCCUUGAUGGCUGGAAAAGUAAGCAAAUUCAGGGGAAGUGCUGUCCGAACUUUGAAAGGACUUGAUUGCAUUGAGUUUGUGAUCUAAGACUUGGAUUUGCGCAAGGCAAUGUUAUAUGAUGGAUUAUUUCUGAGCCAUGGAGGUGAGUGACCUCAAACUGUUUCCAAAUUUACUUUUGAACCGCUUUACUGCAUUAUCUACUUUUGAACCGUUUUCAAAGUUACUUUUGGAACAGUUUCUUACAUAUCAUGCGUGCUUGAAUUAGUGUCUUGUUAUUAUUGAUUUUACUUUCAAUGAUUGUUAAAACGAGUUUUCUAGGCGAGUGUGUACUUUAUCGCACUCGACCUAAAUAAAUAUGAAAUUUUCAAUGAUUAAUGUUUAAAUGCUACUUGCGCAUGAAUGUAAGCCUUUUGGGCUGAACUGGCCAUUGCCCCUUGUUACCGGUCGUCUCGAGCCAGAAGCGGACUUGGUCGGGCGACUAGGAACUUGGGUGAACGUUUCGGUAUACUCGAGUAUUACCUUGUAGGUUGGUGGAGCCUGGCCAAAAGCCAGGGACGGGGUGAAUGAAUGCACAAAUGAAACCAAAUGCAAUGAAAUGACAGGAGAACGAACGUAUCCUUUUCAUGAAUGUUACUAUCGCUUUCCAUUGUAAAUGUUUCUUGAAAUAUUGAUACUCCAUAUUUAAUGUUUUGUAAACGUUGUAAUUGUUUCUAGAUUUAUCCUUUGAUUUACAUCAUCAUUGAAAUGAACCAUUGUUAAACAGAUUUGAUAACUGAUUUUAUUGGUUACUCGCUGAGCUUCUAACUCACCCCAAAAAUGUUUUAUUCCCCUCCACAGGGCUCAAGGCGAAGGAAGGGCUUGUAGUGUUUAUUCAUGGAUUAUCUCAUGUAUGGAUUGAACUUGGAUUUCCUUUUGUGUAAUCAUUCAUAUUGGGAUUGUAUUGAACGUUUAGAAUUGAUUGGAUGUGUAAUAGUCUAGUUUUGGACUUCCUCCUGUAUAAUAGUUGGUAUCAAGGAUCAGAGUGGCGCAGUGGAAGCGUGGACGCUUCGCUUUUGAUAUGAAAAAUUUUGGAGAAUUUGAUGUAUAUUGGAGAUUUGUAUGGUAAUUCAUUUGAGGACUUUAGUGAACGACUGAGUCCCGGCGAGAGCCGGGCAGGCGGUCCGCCAAACCCUUUAGUUCGCCUUAGGGGGAGGUGGGGCCGUGACACCUUGCCUACAUUCUAAAAUCCAAACUUUCUUGAAAAUAUUGUUAGUGGGUGCAUAGGCACCCGUUUGGACCGGUAGUGGUUCAGUCCCCUCCAAAUUCUCCUUGGGUC
rnacentral:lncRNA from 1 species